CGUAGGGUGCGAGCGUUAAUCGGAAUUACUGGGCGUAAAGCGUGCGCAGGCGGUUUAGUAAGACAGGCGUGAAAUCCCCGGGCUCAACCUGGGAACUGCGCUUGUGACUGCUAAGCUAGAGUACGGCAGAGGGGGUGGAAUUCCACGUGUAGCAGUGAAAUGCGUAGAGAUGUGGAGGAACACCAAUGGCGAAGGCAGCCCCCUGGGUCGAUACUGACGCUCAUGCACGAAAGCGUGGGUAGCAAACAGGAUUAGAUACCCUGGUAGUCCACGCCCUAAACGAUGUCAACUAGGUGUUGGGAGGGUAAAACCUUUUAGUACCGGAGCUAACGCGUGAAGUUGACCGCCUGGGGAGUACGGCCGCAAGGGUUA
rnacentral:rRNA from 1 species